GUCUGCAUAAGAUGGCGCUCAGUAGACAUGCAUAUACGGUUUAAACUCAACUGAGCAACUUUUCGCUUUUCUUUUUGUUACAGCUAUUAUUUAGGUUGUGAUGAUAGACCACGUUUUAGACUUGUUGUUUCCCUGCCUUGCCUGUCUAAUGCAAAUUUCUUUGAAAAUAGGCCACCAGUCAAAUGGCCAAGAGAUUUAUUCAACAAAAUAUAUCCUUUGUGAGAGUUCGAGCUGGUUUCGUUUAUGAUAAAGGAUAGGCAGCUCUAUAAAAUAUAGUGAAGGUCACGACAAUACUGCGGGAAGAAACUACAAUUUUAAGAUGAAAUUUCGUAUUAUUUUGGCUUAUGCUUUGUGUUCGUGUUUUGGUUGGAUAAUCUUGAGAGUGACAGGCGAAAGUCUUGAC